rfam:Nitrospira bacterium SG8_35_4 WOR_8-12_42960, whole genome shotgun sequence.
UCCCGAGAAAGCCACAUCCCGAGUAAUCGGGUGAUGGAAAGCUAAGGGUCUCUAUGAUAGCCGAGAUGCCGAA